UGCGAGUUUCUAAACACCCCUCCAAAACCAGCUUGUCGAAGUGAACUUCUAUCAAAAUUUAAUUUAAUAGGCUCAUACGGAGGUGAAAGCUACCCGAACACUCUCUCUCUCCACAAAUAUGCAUUAAAGUCUCUCUCUAUGCAAAGACCCUAGACGACAUAUAAGCUAGCUGUGGCCACCCAUCCUUUAUCUCUCUGUCCCAAUCACUUCUCUCUCUCUCUUCAUUGACUCUUGUGGAAAAAAGGGUUUUGUUUGAAGAAUGAAAUACUUUGGUUCGGGAAGAACUAACUUCAUGGAAUGGCUAAGAGUUGAUGACCAUAUGUGUUAAUGGUUUUGAAUAUAUAUUCUUCAAUGGCCAAUUUGUGAAUCAGAGCUCUAAGAUACUCCUGAUUAAUUUGGAGAUUGAAGCCAUGGGUUCACGAAACCAGGGUUUGCUGCUUUGGGCAAAUCGACUCAUACGCACCAAAGUUAGUUAGGCACGACAAGGGGCCAAGCCCGUAAGUCCCUCAAUUCGGGAGGAAAUAAAAUUUAUUCACUGUUUAUCUGA